ACUCCUACGGGAGGCAGCAGUAGGGAAUCUUCCACAAUGGGCGCAAGCCUGAUGGAGCAACACCGCGUGAGUGAAGAAGGGUUUCGGCUCGUAAAGCUCUGUUGUUAAAGAAGAACACGUAUGAGAGUAACUGUUCAUACGUUGACGGUAUUUAACCAGAAAGUCACGGCUAACUACGUGCCAGCAGCCGCGGUAAUACGUAGGUGGCAAGCGUUAUCCGGAUUUAUUGGGCGUAAAGAGAGUGCAGGCGGUUUUCUAAGUCUGAUGUGAAAGCCUUCGGCUUAACCGGAGAAGUGCAUCGGAAACUGGAUAACUUGAGUGCAGAAGAGGGUAGUGGAACUCCAUGUGUAGCGGUGGAAUGCGUAGAUAUAUGGAAGAACACCAGUGGCGAAGGCGGCUACCUGGUCUGCAACUGACGCCGAGACUCGAAAGCAUGGGUAGCGAACAGGAUUAGAUACCCUGGUAGGAUAGCG
rnacentral:rRNA from 1 species